CUCGGUUCUGGAUUUAGCAAAAGGACUAGUAUCCAGGCAAAAUACAUUGCUGCGGGCUGCUAGGAAUAAUUAGGACAUGGCCUGGCUCUAGAUUCCCAGGAAUCUGCUAGAGGGAUAGGGAAGAGAAAAAGGAGGAGGAAAAGAAGAAAAAGAGGAGGACGAGGAAAGGGGGAGGAGGACUAGAGGGGAAGGAGGAGGAGGACCUGGGUUCUGGGGCUGCAGAGCCACGAACCGCUACCCCCUGAGGUGCAGGGGAGGCAGCAGGACCCACCCCGGAACUGUGCACGGGAGCCCCGUUUGCAAAAACAAUGGGAACCGCAAAACCUGGCCCAGAUGUCCUAAGAUGGACAUCUCUGAGGAACAGACCUGUUUUGAGGGCGGGAGAAGGAGGGAAAGUGAGCUGUCACUAGGGGGAAGCCGUAUGAUGAUAAGAGGUAAGAGGCUGACUGAAGAUGUCGAAGAAUAGGAAGCUCUUGCUCUUUUGCUUUGGACUCUGCAAGUCCAGGAGAGAAUGAGGACACAGGCACACCUGAAGAUGGAAGAUUAGCCACCAGAAGUGAAGGUCGCUCCUCUUCAUCUGGAGGAGAUCAGGUAAUCAAAGCAGAAGAUGGAAAUUGCUGUGCCCUGGUACAGAUGGAAAUCACCCUUUGUUCCUUUCCCUCAGGGGAUACAUACAGCCGGAGAUGGAAGGCAUGUGGUCAGAAGAAGGUAGGUUCUUCUCAUCUGAGGUACAAUAGGAAGUACAAGUCUCACAGGUACAGGGGGAGAUGAAAAUAGAAUUGACACAGAUGGCAGUCCUCCCUCCUCCACCUUUGUUACCAGAUCUCCCAUUCUUGAUGUUAGAGAUGUAGAUGAAGAUUUUGAAGCUUUAACUUGGGAUCCAGGGCAUAAAAUGUCAUAAAAUCAUCCACCAAAUGGAUCUAUAUUUUAUGAAAGUUCUGAGAUAGGUGGUAUAGGGGAUCCAUUAACGUAAAAGAUGGUUCUACCUUCAAGGAGCUUAUAUCUAGUUGGAAAGAGAAGACCCUCACAUGUCAAAUUUUUUUUUAGUUUACUGCUCAAAUAGUGGCACAGAGAGCAAAAAUUUUAAAAUAAUUAGCUCAACACCCAAUUAGUGGCAGAGACAAUAAAUAAAAAUAAUUACUUCAAUGCCUAAUUAGUGGUAUAGGCAAUAAAUUAAGAAUAAUUAGUUUGAUGCCCAAUUAGUGGUAUGGUUAGUAAAUAAAAAUAAUUAGUUCAAUGACCAAUUAGUGGUAUAGACAGCAAAUAUUAUUAUAUCAGAUCAGAGGAGGGAGUGUUCAUUGGGGGCUGGUGUGGUCAGACAAGGCUUCCUGGAAGAAAUGGAACUUGGUCUGGACAUUAAAAGAUGGAUAUUUGAUCAGCUGUAAAUGGAGAUAGAGGUAGAAAUAGGAAGGAACAUUCAGGGCACAGAGACAGGACCAGGCCAACAGGAGUAGAGGAUUCAAGACACAGAAUAUUUUGAUUCAUCACAGGAUUUGUAAUUUUAGAGUUUCCCCCCAAUGAAAAAGAUUGCCACCCACUGCUGCCUUCUCAUCCUGUUCCCACUUAUAUUCACUUUUAGGUCUUCUUCCUACUGAGGAUUGGCCCAUUGUAAUGGAGGCUGCCUUCUGGGCCUUUUAACAUUUUGAAGGUACCAGAGUAAAACUCAUGCUGUCCAUCUGUUAUUCUGUAUUCCCAUACUCAUAUUUCCUUAGUGAUAUAUCCCUUAUGUCAAUGGGACUAAAUGUGAACAGAUCCCUGUUCCU
ensembl:lncRNA